UCUUGGAGUCUCUUCUCUCCAGCGACAUUGAGUUUGCAGCCAAACUUCAAACAUGAAGAUUCUCUACCUUCUCUUCUCUAUCUUCUUCUUGGUCCUGCAAAGCUCUCCAGGAUUCACCCAGCGUAUUACUAACUCCCAGGCAUGUAAUCGUGCUGAGGGCUUCUGCAGCCGUAGCUGUCCCUCCUCCUUCUCAGUGAUUGGAAGCUGUGGUUUUUCACUGAUUUGCUGUAAGUGGAGAAGGUACCCAGAGUGAGUGACGUCAGCAAAGAAUGUCAAUGCAGGAUCGCAGAGAAUGUGGCAGAUGACAUCUUGCUUCUAAAAUCCUUGGAUGCUUUUCAUCUGAGCUGCAAAGUUUCUCGCAAGCUGAAAAAAAUCCACAAGGGAGCCCUUGUGUCCACCCUUAUAGCUUAUUCUUCUCCCUUUAAUAAAAGUAGCUGGUUGUU